ACUUGUUUAAUUUUCAUAGAUUUCUUCAACCUCAAUUCAAGAUUCUAAUGUCAAGCCUGCACAUGAGAUGCUGUAGCCGUCUACUCAAGCUGUUCAGUCACAGCCAAAGAGAUUACAUAUGUGAAUUUCCAGAAUGAGAGACCCAGAAAAUGCCAUGGUUUAGUUCUCCAACUCCAGGCUGCCUUAAACAUUAGCAAACUGAGUCUGACAGAGGGAAUGGUACACCUGGAAUCAUAUGACAAGUGAGUAACAGAACCUUUGUUAUAAUGACUCAGCAUAGAGGAAGUACUAGCGUCCUGGAUCAGGUUGCUAGUUUAUAUCCUUUCAUUGUUAUCAUACCAAUAUCAAGCACAGUCAUCAUGAUUUCUUCUUUAUGUCAAAAUCUUACCCCGUCUUCAGUAAGAAGACGUUUAGAGAGCAGGACUUCAGGCCUUUGUUUUGAUGAUAGUUGACUAGGGUGAUUUUGGUGGCAAAUGACAUAUCUGUGAGCUGACUGCAUGAGCACAAGCUCUUUGUAUGUAUCUGUGUAUAAUUAACACAAGUUUAUUGUACUACCUCUUA